CAUUAAGAAGCUAUGAACCAGCAUUAGCCUUUUAAGCUAAAGAAAGAGGGAACCACCCCUCCUUAAUGA
rnacentral:tRNA from 3 species